CCCCCUCCUCUUAUUUUUUUUUCACCUGUUGGGCUUGCCCCAGAUUCAGCCCGUCAUGUGUUUUUUUUUCAGCGCCUGAAUUUUUCCUAUUAUUCCUGAGACUGCCAGUUUUAUAGUUUAGUCCCCCUAGUUCAUGCAUUUAAUAACUCACUAACCGUGCAUCGGAUUAAAAUAAGUUAUAUAUGAAACUUGCUCAGAAUUUUGUGUAGAUUAAUAAUAUCCAACUUUCAUCUAUGUUUGAGAUGAUAAAAAUGCUAUUUGUUUAAUUUUUCUCAAAUGCCAUGUUAAAAUGCUUUAUUUCAUAACUAAAUAACCGUAACUCCAAUUUUAAUAAACUUUAUAUGUAAAUGGGGUAGAAUUUUGCCUAGUUUAUCAUGGUGGCCUUACUUUGCAUGUUUAACAACCCUAAAAUUGUGUUUAGGGCAGAACAGGACCUAAUCUAAAAUAUGCAUAUGGGGAGUUUCCGGAAUUGUUGUUCGUUGCUUCCGGCCUCAUUUAACCUUGACUAGAUAGGUAGUUUUCAUUUGCUUCACCCUCUUGCCAUGUUAACCAACAUUUAAUAUUGUUGAGUACAUAACCGAGAGAGAACUAAAUAAUUGUCGUGGUGUUUCGUCAAUAUGCAACUCGUUGCAUAUUGAGCUCCACUUAAUUUGUAGAACUGCUUGUGCACUUUGCCAUGCCAUGCCUCAUUAAACCGGACAUGCAUCAUACUCGUUUGUGCAUCAUGCCAUGUUGUUGUGGUGGUUGUUUACUAUGUUGUGUGCUUCUUUUCCGGUGAUUGCUUCUUCGGGUUGGUUCCGAUAACGUCGCGUUUGUGAGGAUCCGUUCAACUACGUCCGUUUGUCUUCUUCAUGGACUCGUUCUUCUUCCUUGCGGGAUUUCAGGCAAGAUGAUCAUACCCUCGAAAUCACUACUAUCUUUGCUAUGCUAGUUUGCUCGCUCUUUUGCCAUGCCAAUGCUACGAUGCCUACCACUUGCUUGUCAGCCACCCAAAUUGCCAUGUUCAGCCUCUAACCCACCAUGUCCUAGCAAACCGUUGAUUGGCUAUGUUAUCGCUUUGCUCAGCCCCUCUUAUAGCGUUGCUAGUUGCAGGUGAAGAUUGGAGCCGUUCCUUGUUGGAACUUUUAUUUACUUGUUGGGAUAUCACAAUAUAUCUUACUUAAUUAAUGCAUCUAUAUACUUGGUAAAGGGUGGAAGGCUCGGCCUUAUGCCUGGUGUUUUGUUCCACUCUUGCCGCCCUAGUUUCCGUCAUAUCGGUGUUAUGUUCCCGGAUUUUGCGUCCCUUACGCGGUUGGGCUAUAAUGGGAACCCCUUGACAGUUCGCCUUAAGUAAAGCUUCUCCAGCAAUGCCCAACAUUGGUUUUACCAUUUGCCACCUAGCUUUUUUUCCCUUGGGGGUCGCGCGCCCAAGGGUCAUCAUUAUUUUACCCCCCCCCCCCGGGCCAGUGCUCCUCUGAGUGUUGGUCCAACUGUCAGCUACCGGUGACCACCAGGGGCAACUCUGGGUUGGCCUACCCGUACCUAAGACAAUCUGAGUGUGCCCUGAGAAAGAGAUAUGUGCAGCUCCUAUCGGGAUUUGUCGGCACAUUCGGGCGGUGUUGCUGGUUUAGUUUUACCCUGUCGAAAUGUCUUGUUGUACCGGGAUACCGAGUCUGAUCGGAAUGUCUCGGGUGGAGGUCUAUUCCUUCGUUGACCGUGAGAGCUUGUCAUGGGCUAAGUUGGGACACCCCUGCAGGGAUUUGAACUUUCGAAAGUCGUGCCCGCGGUUAUGGGCAGAUGGGAAUUUGUUAACGUCCGGUUGUAGAAAACCCGAAGUUGACCUUAAUUAAAAUACAUCAACCGUGGGUGUAACCGUGAUGGUCUCUUUCCGGCGGAGUCCGGGAAGUGAACACGGUGUUGGAGUUAUGCUUGACGUAGGUUGCUAUAGGAUCACUUCUUGAUCAUACUUUUAUCGACCGUGCUUUGCCUUCUCUUCUCGCUCUCAUUUGCGUAUGUUAGCCACCAUAUAUGCUAGUCGCUUGCUGCAGCUCCACCUCAUUACUCCAUCCUUCCUAUAAGCUUAAAUAGUCUUGAUCUCGCGGGUGCGAGAUUGCUGAGUCCCUGUGGCUCACAGAUACUCCCAAAAACCAGUUUGUAGGUGCCGAUGAGUUUGUGCAGUUGACGCAACCAAGCUCAGGAGGAGCUCGAUGAAGAUCUUGUCAUUUGUGUUGUUUCCGUGCUAGUUGAUCAGUAGUGGAGCCCAGUUGGGGUCGAUCGGGGACCUUUGUCGCAUUUGGGGUUCUUCUUUUAGUUUGGUUCCGUAGUCGGACCUUGAUUGUAUCUGGAUGAUGUAAUGCUUUAUUCAUGUAAUUGUGUGAAGUGGCGAUUGUAAGCCAACUAUGCAUCUCUUUCCCUUAUUGUAUUACAUGGGUU
rnacentral:lncRNA from 1 species